rnacentral:rRNA from 1 species
UAAAUCCUACGGGACGCAGCAGUGAGGAAUAUUGGUCAAUGGGCGCGAGCCUGAACCAGCCAAGUCGCGUGAGGGAGGACGGCCCUACGGGUUGUAAACCUCUUUUGCCGGGGAGCAACGGGCGUCACGUGUGGCGCCACUGAGAGUACCCGGAGAAAAAGCAUCGGCUAACUCCGUGCCAGCAGCCGCGGUAAUACGGAGGAUGCGGGCGUUAUCCGGAUUUAUUGGGUUUAAAGGGUGCGUAGGCGGAUCGUUAGGUCAG